AGCUCAACAGAAUCAGUGCUCUGGGGAGAAGGGGUCAGCAAUCCGUGUUUUUAGCAGAUUCUCCAGGUGGUUCCAACGCUAGAGACUAAGCACUAUUGCUCUAGUGCGCAUGCCCUACCUCUUCACUCUCCUGUGUAACACCCUCCAUGGCUCCCCAUUGCCUGCAGGUAAAGGGAGGCCUCGGUGAACACUGAGAUGAACAGACAGCAAGGAGUUUGGCCACAGGGACCAGAGCUGCCUCUUCUAAACUGAGCCCAGCUGACUUAGAUCAUCGCUGAGGACCGGGCCCUAGGCUUCCCCACCACGCCUGCCUGACUGUGGGCCCUGAACAGCCCCUGCUCCUUGGCCUCAGUUCCCCCAUGUGUGGGGGAGUGGGGCAGAGGCAGCCCCUGAGUUCAGUGACUGCGGGGUCAAGGUGGCGGGGGCUCUUACUCCAGAGCUCCAGUACUGACCACUUGCCCCUGGCCCCAAGAAUGAGGACCAUAGCCUGGUCCCUGCACAGCCAGGGUGCCUCCUGACCACCCCUCCCA